rnacentral:rRNA from 1 species
CCUACGGGUGGCAGCAGUCGAGAAUCAUUCACAAUGGGGGAAACCCUGAUGGUGCGACGCCGCGUGGGGGAAUGAAGGUCUUCGGAUUGUAAACCCCUGUCAUGUGGGAGCAAAUUAAAAAGAUAGUACCACAAGAGGAAGAGACGGCUAACUCUGUGCAAGCAGCCGCGGUAAUACAGAGGGCUCAAGCGUUGUUCGGAAUCACUGGGCGUAAAGCGUGCGUAGGCUGUUUCGUAAGUCGUGGGGGAAAGGCGCGGGCUCAACCCGCGGACGGCAAAUGAUACUGCGAGACGAGAGUAAAGGAGGGGGAACCGGAAUGCUCGGUGUAGCAGUGAAAUGCGUAGAUAUCGCGAGGAACACUGGUGGCGAAGGCGGGUUACUGGACAUUAACUGACGCUGAGGCACGAAGGCCAGGGGAGCGAAAGGGAUUAGAUACCCGUGUAGUC